rnacentral:rRNA from 1 species
UACGGAGGGUGCAAACGUUGCUCGGAAUCAUUGGGCGUAAAGCGCACGUAGGCGGCCUGUUAAGUCGGGUGUGAAAGCCCUGGGCUCAACCCAGGAAGUGCACUCGAAACUGGCGGGCUUGAAUAUGGAAGAGGGUCGCGGAAUUCCCGGUGUAGAGGUGAAAUUCGUAGAUAUCGGGAGGAACACCAGUGGCGAAGGCGGCGACCUGGGCCAAUAUUGACGCUGAGGUGCGAAAGCGUGGGGAGCGAACAGG